UGGGGGGUUGUAGGCUACUGAGGGUGGACUAGGGAGAGCAAGACACGUGCCAAGGUGGACAGCAGAGAGGGUUGGUCUAAGGGGCCAGAUGUUAGGAAGAGGGCAGACCGAGGUAGGAGGAGAGCAGGUGACAGGGCAGGAUGUGGGAGGAGGAAAGGAGGCUGCCCACCUGGGCUGACGGGGUGAUGAGGCAGGGGCCAGGGGGGAGGAAGGGGCCCAGCCCCAGGGACCCACCGCGCUGCCCCACACAGGAUCUGGAGAGAGGCUGGAGAACACCAUGGAGGCCAUGGAGAAGUGAGUGCGCCCGCCCAGCCGAGCUGCGAGGUCGUGCCAGCUGUGUGCGGCCUGAAGCCAAGGGGUGCCAUGCACUUCCUAGUCUGGGUGAUGGAGCCCCGGGAGGCAUCGCGCCGGCUGCAUAUCCCGCUUUAAAUUGCCCCCCCGCUCCCCUGAACCUCCCACCACCCUGUGCCCCACAGCCCACUGACUUUCGCUCCCUUAGCGCCAUGGCCCAGCGCUCAGACCUCCUGGAGCUGGACUGUCAGCUGACCCGGGACGGUGUGGUGGUGGUUUCCCAUGACGAGAACCUGUCCCGCCAGUCAGGCGUGAACAAGGAUGUGGGCAGCCUGGAUUUUGAGGAGCUGCCCCUCUACAAGGAGGAGCUGGAGGUUUACUUCUCACCAGGCCACUUCGCACAUGGGUCAGACAGGCACAUGGUGCGUCUGGAGGAUGUUUUCCAGAGGUUCCCUCGCAUGCCCAUGAGUGUGGAGGUCAAAGAGGAAAACGAGAAGCUCAUUCACAAGAUAGCCAGCCUGGUGAGGCACUUUGACCGCAAUGAAAUCACCAUCUGGGCCUCAGAGAAGAGCUCAAUCAUGAAGAAGUGCAAGGCUGCUAACCCCGAGAUGCCGCUCUCCUUCACCAGAUGCCGAGUCAUCCGGCUGUUACUGCUGUAUUACCUGGGGCUGCUGCCCUUUGUUCCUAUCCCUGAGAAGUUUCUCUUGUGUUUCCUGCCCACCAUCAUCAACAGGACCUACUUCCCAUUCUCCUGCUCGGGGCUGAACAAGCUGACAGCCGUGGUUACUAAAUGGCUCAUCAUGAGGAAAAGUCUGAUCCAACACCUGGAGCAGCGAGGAGUGCAGGUGAGGCUUCGCUACCCCAGUUCCCGGCGCGGGUUGGCACAGCGUUCCAGCCACAGCUCUGCUGCUGACCGGCUGGCGGCUGGGGCAGGUCACCUUCAGAGCCUGGUUUCUUCACUGUAAAUGGGGAUAAUGACAGAGUUAGCUCUUCUGGGCAUAUCACUGGUACUUAGCAAGGGCCUGGUAAAUGCUAGCCAUUAUGGUGAUGUACUGAACUGUCCUGACCCCGAUGAGGGGCUGGGCAAAGACAGUAGAGAAACAGGAGCCUGCUCACCUCCUCCUGCUCCCAAGCUUCAGCUGUGACCAGGUCAUUUAAUUAGCAAACCUUGGUUGAGCAUAUAUUCCGGGCACUACGGGCACUACGGUACUGAGCAGGGAGUUUACCGGGGCAGGAGGGGAAGGAAGCAGGCCAUCACCAGCACAGGGGCAGCUCGUGGACAGGAAAGGCAAGUGCGGUGCCUGUGGGGUCAGAGAAGAGAAGGCCUCUGGGAGAAGUGAGGCGCUGGCUCCAGGGGCGGACAAGGGAGAGCACUCAGGCGGGAGGCUCCCGUGGGGAGGCCCAGAGGAGCUAGAGGCUGGCAGUCUGAGAAGCAGAGAGGGCUCCCGCCGCGGCAGCCCGGAGGAGGCGGCACCAGGGGGGCUGGAGAAGGGCAACCCCGAGGGCCUCCUCCGUAAGGAGCCUGGGCUUCUGCCCAAAGGGAGGGGAAGCUUUUGCAGGAAGAGCCCUGACCCAGUUGAGAUUUGUUGAGUGAGGGUCAUCCGUGUGGCGAAGUGACUGUGGGGGCCACAGUGGAAGCGGAGUCUCAUGAGGAGGCUGAUGCUGCCACGGACAGGAUUUGGGCUCCAGUGCUAACAGUGGGGAUGGAUGGAAGAGCUUACAGACCAGCCACUGAUUGGAUGAAGGUGGUAUUCUGGUGCCUUAAUGAAGAGUCGGAUUUUGAAGUGGCCUACAGUCUGGGGGCCACUGGCGUCAUGACUGAUUACCCCACAGCCCUGAGGCGCUACCUGGACAACCACAGAGCAGCGGCCCCC